rnacentral:rRNA from 1 species
UAACACAUGCAAGUCGAACGAGAACGGAUUUUAGUUUACUAAAAUUGUCAGCUAAGUGGCGCACGGGUGAGUAAUAUAUAGUUAACCUGCCCCAAAGAAGAGAAUAAUUGAUGGAAACGUCUUGUAACUCUCUAUAUGCCUUUAUUACAUAAGUAAGCAAGGGAAACAUUUAUGGCUUUGGGAUGGGACUGUACAGUAUCAGAUAGUUGGUGAGGUAAUGGCUCACCAAGUCAAUGACGCUUAACUGGUUUGAGAGGAUGAUCAGUCACACUGGAACUGAGACACGGUCCAGACUCCUACGGGAGGCAGCAGUGGGGAAUAUUGCACAAUGGAGGAAACUCUGAUGCAGCAACGCCGCGUGGAGGAUGACACAUUUCGGUGCGUAAACUCCUUUUAUAUAAGAAGAUAAUGACGGUAUUAUAUGAAUAAGCACCGGCUAACUCCGUGCCAGCAGCCGCGGUAAUACGGGGGGUGCAAGCGUUACUCGGAAUCACUGGGCGUAAAGAGCAUGUAGGCU